CAUUACUUACUCUGGUGAGUCAGUGUGGCUGCAGAGAGCCAUAGUUCUCCUGAGCCAGCUAGUCAGGAAGGUAAACAACCAUGUAAUGGAGUGGGUUACCUUAUCAAGUCAUGGCAACACAUUGUCAGUAUAUUACAUGCAUUUUCAACUUCUGAUGAAUCAAGAUGUAGCCCCAUCAUAAACCAGGAAAUAUGAGUGCUCCUAAACAUGGAUGAAGAACAAGAUCCUAGUCUAACUCAGCACAAAGGGCCAAAGCUCCAAAGAAGAGCAAGAGGAGUCAGGAGAUAAAUGACUGAAGACACAACCCUUCCACAUCUGUAUUUAUUCAUUUAGCUAACUGGCUCGAGGCAGCAGCAGAAUUAUGCUCUACUCAUGGUAACCCUUCACCCAUUGAGUUCCAGCGUUUUCUUCUGAGGAGUUGGUUGAAUCCAAGAAUGGAACAUAGAGAAACAACUGCGUCAUUUAGUGACAAGGGAUAGGUGCCUUUCCAGACGUUGCCUAAUGCUACAUCAUCAACAGUGAUGCAGACAAAGUGUAAUCCAGGUCCCUGCUUGUCAUCUGCACCCUACAGAGUCACCUUUCAGCUGGAAACUGAGUUUCGUCACCAAGUAUGACGACAAGGAGCCAGAGGAACUCAACCUUGGGAACACAGCUAACUCACUUUACAGCUUGUUCCUUGAACUCUUCAAAAUCCAAAUUAGAGUCAAAAUCCUGUCUGAUUCCUCUACCUAAAGUUGCUUUAGUUGCAGAAACAUCAACCAAGUAGAAGAAUCCCAGCUUUGAGUUCUGAGCGGCAAACAGCUGUGGACUGAUGGGGAUCCUGGAUGGAGCUGCUACAGUAAAUGGACUAGGUACCAGAUGGAUGGAGAAGCAGGGACCAGCCCUCAUAUGUCAAUCAGCUCUUGACCACUCUCACAAACACCUGAAGGAUGCAAGUAUUGGGAGCAAAGCUUUGUUUUAAAGUCUUACUUUUUAAUUAAUUUUUUGCUGCCCUAUGACACUGUCAUACCUAUAUAUUAUUAAACUUAGAUUAUAUCUGUCUUUCACUGUGCAA